rnacentral:rRNA from 1 species
CUUACCACUUUGUGAUCCAUGACUGGGGUGAAGUCGUAACAAGGUAACCGUAGGGGAACCUGCGGUUGGAUCACCUCCUUACC